rnacentral:misc_RNA from 1 species
UGCCUUUGACAUCCUCGGAAUCCCGCAGAGAUGCGGGAGUGCCUUCGGGAACCGAGAUACAGGUGCUGCAUGGCUGUCGUCAGCUCGUGUCGUGAGAUGUUGGGUUAAGUCCCGCAACGAGCGCAACCCUUGUCCCUAGUUGCCAGCAUUUCGGAUGGGAACUCUAGGGAGACUGCCGGUGACAAACCGGAGGAAGGUGGGGAUGACGUAUAGGAGCUCGAC